UGGGGAAUAUUGCACAAUGGAGGGAACUCUGAUGCAGCGACGCCGCGUGAACGAAGAAGGCUUUCGAGUCGUAAAGUUCUUUUAUAUGGGAAGAUAAUGACGGUACCAUAAGAAAAAGCCCCGGCUAACUACGUGCCAGCAGCCGCGGUAAUACGUAAGGUCCGAGCGUUGUCCGGAAUCAUUGGGCGUAAAGGGUACGUAGGCGGGUAAGCAAGUUAGAAGUGAAAUCCUAUAGCUCAACUAUAGUAAGCUUUUAAAACUGCUCAUCUUGAGGUAUGGAAGGGAAAGUGGAAUUCCUAGUGUAGCGGUGAAAUGCGCAGAUAUUAGGAGGAAUACCGGUGGCGAAGGCGACUUUCUGGCCAUAACCUGACGCUGAGGUACGAAAGCGUGGGUAGCAAACAGG
rnacentral:rRNA from 1 species